UACGGAGGGGGCUAGCGUUGUUCGGAAUUACUGGGCGUAAAGGGCGCGUAGGCGGAUGUUUAAGUCAGCGGUGAAAGCCCAGGGCUCAACCUUGGAACUGCCAUUGAUACUGGACAUCUUGAGUACGGGAGAGGUGAGUGGAACACCGAGUGUAGAGGUGAAAUUCGUAGAUAUUCGGUAGAACACCAGUGGCGAAGGCGACUCACUGGCCCGUUACUGACGCUGAGGCGCGAAAGCGUGGGGAGCAAACAGG
rnacentral:rRNA from 1 species